rnacentral:lncRNA from 1 species
AUGCAGUACUGGAAGAGGUCAGAGGGAGAGAAGACUGGCUGCAAUGAACAAAGUAGGAAUUUCAGAAAGCAGGGGUGUAUUGUGUCAAAUUGGUGUUCGAUGAAAUCCCAGAAAGGGAGGGAUCAAUAUUAUGUGCCGCAAAAAGCCAAUGACAAUGCCAAUAAGGGAGACCAAGAGCUCCUCAAGAAAUGACGUACUCAUGCUAGGACCAUGCAGGAGAGGAACAUCUUAGAACACAAGCAAGAAAGGUGUGAGAGACAUAUGAGAGGGGAGGUAUGCCUGUUUUGUAAUCCACUAUUUUUUUCACAUACCUGAAGUACACUUCUCAACCAGAAGAGGGCAACAUAACACCAGUCUGAGGAAAGGGUUUCAGUCACUGGAAAGAGAAAAUUAGAAUUAGAAGAAUGCUUUCAGUUCUGUUCUUGUUCUAAGGAAACUGUCUGGGAGAAGUGGACAGAAAGAGACUGACUUGAGUCCUUGUUUCCAUUCUGGGUGAGCAGACGUUGAAAAAGAUAGCUGUGCAGGCUUUGCAGACACUAAGCUGAAGCUGUCCAGGUUGGAUAUAGUGACAGGCCUAGCUAGCGAUGGAACACUGUGCCUCCAGUAUGCAGUCAGUCAUCCUGCAGUCAGAUGUCGCCAGGGAGGCACCCCCCCCCCCCACCCCACACAGCAGGUAAACACACCAUUCCACAAAACGCUAGCACACACACAGUCAGAAACAUACAAACACAGCAGCAGACUAAUAUAAUAGCAAGUGUAACAUCAUGAUGCAUGAUGAACAUUAGGUCCCACUCCCCCC